AAAGCAGAGAUAGUGUGUAUCGACGCUGUGCGAAUCUGAUUCAAAUGCACUCUGAUCGAAAGUGUUCUCUGCAAAAUUGAAAUCACAGGGGAAAGAUGGGCAGUUGUCUCUCAAUCACCAAUUGAUUCGUCAACAAUCAUCUUCCCUACAUCU